rnacentral:rRNA from 1 species
GAUUAUGGCUCAGGAUGAACGCUAGCUACAGGCUUAACACAUGCAAGUCGAGGGGCAUCAGGGACUGUGCUUGCACAGUUUGCUGGCGACCGGCGCACGGGUGAGUAACGCGUAUCCAACCUUCCCCUUAGUAGGGCAUAGCCCGUAGAAAUGCGGAUUAAUACCCUAUGUUUUCCAAUGAGGACAUCUGAGCUGGAACAAAGAUUCAUCGCUAAGGGAUGGGGAUGCGUCUGAUUAGCUUGCCGGCGGGGUAACGGCCCACCGGGGCAACGAUCAGCAGGGGUUCUGAGAGGAAGGUCCCCCACAUUGGAACUGAGACACGGUCCAAACUCCUACGGGAGGCAGCAGUGAGGAAUAUUGGUCAAUGGUCGAGAGACUGAACCAGCCAAGUAGCGUGCCAGGAUGACGGCCCUAUGGGUUGUAAACUGCUUUUAUGCGGGGAUAAAGUGAGGGACGUGUCCCUUUUUGUAGGUACCGCAUGAAUAAGGACCGGCUAAUUCCGUGCCAGCAGCAGC